UACAGAGGGGGCAAGCGUUGUUCGGAAUUACUGGGCGUAAAGGGCGCGUAGGCGGCCUUCUAAGUCGAACGUGAAAUCCCCGGGCUCAACCCGGGAACUGCGUCCGAGACUGGAAGGCUUGAAUCCGGGAGAGGGAUGUGGAAUUCCAGGUGUAGCGGUGAAAUGCGUAGAUAUCUGGAGGAAUACCGGUGGCGAAGGCGGCAUCCUGGACCGACAUUGACGCUGAUGAGCGAAAGCUAGGGGAGCAAACGGG
rnacentral:rRNA from 1 species